rnacentral:rRNA from 1 species
UAGGGAAUCUUCCGCAAUGGACGCAAGUCUGACGGAGCAACGCCGCGUGAGUGAAGAAGGAUUUCGGUUCGUAAAACUCUGUUGUUAGAGAAGAACAGCGCAUAGAGUAACUGUUAUGCGUGUGACGGUAUCUAACCAGAAAGCCACGGCUAACUACGUGCCAGCAGCCGCGGUAAUACGUAGGUGGCAAGCGUUGUCCGGAUUUAUUGGGCGUAAAGCGAGCGCAGGCGGUCAAUUAAGUCUGAUGUGAAAGCCCCCGGCUCAACCGGGGAGGGUCAUUGGAAACUGGUUGACGUGAGUGGAGAAGAGGAGAGGGGAAUUCCAUGUGUAGCGGUGAAAUGCGUAGAUAUAUGGAGGAACACCAGUGGCGAAGGCGACUCUCUGGUCUGUAACUGACGCUGAGGCUCGAAAGCGUGGGGAGCGAACAGG